AUUGAACGCCGGCGGCAGGCCUAACACAUGCAAGUCGAGCGGAUGAAGGGAGCUUGCUCCUGGAUUCAGCGGCGGACGGGUGUGUAAUGCCUAGGAAUCUGCCUGGUAGUGGGGGAUAACGUCCGGUAACGGGCGCUAAUACCGCAUACGUCCUUUGGGAGAAAGUGGGGGUUCUUCGGACCUCUCGCUAUCAGAUGAGCCUAGGUCGGAUUAGCUAGUUGGUGGGGUAAAGGCCUACCAAGGCGACGAUCCGUAACUGGUCUGAGAGGAUGAUCAGUCACACUGGAACUGAGACACGGUCCAGACGCCUACGGGAGGCAGCAGUGGGGAAUAUUGGACAAUGGGCGAAAGCAUGAUACAGCAAAGCCGCGUGUGUGAAGAAGGUCUUCGGAUUGUAAAGCACUUUAAGUUGGGAGGAAGGGAAGUAAGUUAAUACCUUGCUGUUUUGACGUUAACAACAGAAUAAGCACCGGCUAACUUCGUG
rnacentral:rRNA from 1 species